rnacentral:rRNA from 1 species
UACGUAGGGGGCUAGCGUUGUCCGGAUUUAUUGGGCGUAAAGAGCGCGCAGGCGGUCGUUCAAGUCGCGUGUGAAAGCCCCCGGCUCAACUGGGGAGGGUCACGCGAUACUGAUCGACUCGAAGGCAGGAGAGGGAAGUGGAAUUCCCGGUGUAGUGGUGAAAUGCGUAGAUAUCGGGAGGAACACCAGUGGCGAAGGCGACUUCCUGGCCUGUUCUUGACGCUGAGGCGCGAAAGCUAGGGGAGCAAACGGG